GAUCCUGGCUCAGAUUGAACGCUGGCGGCAGGCUUAACACAUGCAAGUCGAACGGUAACAUAGAGAAGCUUGUUUCUUUGAUGACGAGUGGCGGACGGGUGAGUAAUGCUUGGGAAUCUGGCUUAUGGAGGGGGAUAACUACGGGAAACUGUAGCUAAUACCGCGUAAUAUCGAAAGAUUAAAGUGUGGGACCUUCGGGCCACAUGCCAUAGGAUGAGCCCAAGUGGGAUUAGGUAGUUGGUGAGGUAAAGG
rnacentral:rRNA from 1 species